CCUACGGGAGGCAGCAGUGGGGAAUAUUGCACAAUGGGGGAAACCCUGAUGCAGCGACGCCGCGUGAGUGUAGAAGUAUUUCGGUAUGUAAAGCUCUUUCAUCCGGGAAGAAAAUGACGGUACCUGAUUACGAAGCCCCGUCUAACUCCGUGCCAGCCGCCGCGGUACUACGUAGGGGGCAGGCGUUAUCCGGAUGUACUGGGUGUAAAGGGAGCGUAGACGGAAGCACAGGUCUGGAGUGAAAUGCCGGGGCGUAACGGCGGAACUGCUUUGGAAACUGUGCAGCUAGAGUGCAGGCGAGGUAAGUGGAAUUCCUAGUGUAGCGGUGAAAUGCGUAGAUAUUAGGAAGAACACCAGUUGCGAAGGCAGCUUACGGAACUGUAACUGACGUUGAGGCUCGAAAGCGUGGGGAGCAAACAGGAUUAGAUACCCCAGUAGUC
rnacentral:rRNA from 1 species